rnacentral:rRNA from 1 species
ACUCCUACGGGAGGCAGCAGUGGGGAAUAUUGCACAAUGGGCGCAAGCCUGAUGCAGCAACGCCGUGUGAGUGAAGAAGGUUUUCGGAUCGUAAAACUCUGUCCUAAGGGAAGAAACAAAUGACGGUACCUUAGGAGGAAGCCCCGGCUAACUACGUGCCAGCAGCCGCGGUAAUACGUAGGGGGCGAAGCGUUAUCCGGAAUCACUGGGGCGUAAAGGGUGCGUAGGCGGCUUAGCAAGCCAGGGGUGAAAGGCAUUGGCUCAACCAAUGUAAGCCUUUGGAACUGUUAAGCUUGAGUGCAGGAGAGGUAAGUGGAAUUCCUAGUGUAGAGGUGAAAUUCGUAGAUAUUAGGAGGAACACCAGUGGCGAAGGCGACUUACUGGACUGUAACUGACGCUGAUGCACGAAAGCGUGGGUAGCGAACAGGAUUAGAUACCCUUGGAGCACAGAG